CGCCACCAGAAUCUCAACCCUCCCUCAGAGCGUUCCAUCGCGCCCAGAACUGACCGACAUGCAGUCCAGAGCCUGGGAGCAGCAUGAAAAAGAGCUGGCAAAAAAGGAGACAUCUUUGCAAAGCGGAAUACCCAGAGAGAACCUACUAAUCAAUGGGGAGAACAUGCAAAAAGACUCCAGUCCAAGAUUUAAAGCCCGGACCAUUUGCAAGGUAGUGUUUACAUCUGUGCUACGAUGAAAUCUAAAUUUAUGUAGCUCUUUCAUAGUCAUACCAACCUCUCAGUGCUUUACACUAGAGCCACAAUUACCCAUUUGCACUCACAAACACGCACAAAUUCAUAAAUCGAUUCGCAGAUUGGUAGAUGUGUUGGGGUUAAGUGUUUUGCCCA